CCAGCCUAGAAAUUUGCCACACUUUGUCCUAUUUGUACAAGCCCUGCUGAGUUUCAAGUCACAACACAGCUUGUGGGGGAGUUGGACCAGAUGGCCUUUACAAGUCUCUUCCAACUCGAACGAUUCUAUGAUAAGGGGGAGAGAGCCCAUCUGAGGUUGUGUCUGUCCUGAGAGCGCCAUGGCAGGCAAUCCCUGCAGCCUUCAGACCCAAACGAGCCAGCAGAUCCUGCACAGAUUAUAAAGCCAUUGGCUUACAGCCAUGGAAGAGCCCCGUCUCUCCUUUCCAGUGUGAAUGGAUCGUCCACAAAAAAAAAAAAAAAAAAAAAAAAAAAAAAAACCAUGAUAAAAUAUAAGUAAUUCAUUUGGCUUAAAAGUGUUGACGCAACUGCACAACAAGAACCGAACUUGGCUGAUGUUGGAAAACGAUGGAAGCCCAUUGGGGAUGGUUAAUUAAUGAUUAAGCCCAUCUCCCUUACGUUUUAGUUCAUUGGGACCUCAGAAAGAAAGACUGGGAAAAUAAAAAGUCCUGAGAAUGCGUUUGUAUGCAUUUGUUUGUGCAGAUAUAUAGGUGAGAUGGGCACACGGCUACGCGGGCAUCGUUCACAGCCCUGCGGAUAAAGCUCUGCCCAAUGAACGUGCAGAGCCCCGCAGAAGGCAGCAGGCAGGAUGCGUUGUUUCUAAGACAAAGGUCAAAUAAAAAAGGAUGUUAAUAAACAGCCCUCCGGUUUAAGGGACUUUUUUUAAGGAUUACAUCUUAAAUUCCAACAAAUCAGAUUUAGGAGUUACUGAAAGUGAAAUUGAUCCAUCCCUCAACCAAACUUUGCAAUACUUUCCUGUUCUGACAUCAUUUAGAUAGUUAGCUGCAUUAUCAG
ensembl:lncRNA